rnacentral:lncRNA from 12 species
GGGAUGCCACAGCAUCAUGCCCAGCAGCCAGACUGGAGGAAGGCUGCAGGCUGGCCUCCCAGGAACCAUUGGUAAUUUUAUGGAGUGAAUUUUGUGGGCUCCUCAAAGACAACACUCUGCAGUCCCAUCUCUGCCUACAAAGCAGCUCCUCGGCUCCAAGGAGAAGAACAAUUCAAAUCACUUCUCUCUACAGUAUCUCCAACCACCAUAUUUCCA